rnacentral:rRNA from 1 species
UGGGGAAUAUUGGGCAAUGGGCGAAAGCCUGACCCAGCAACGCCGCGUGAAGGAUGAAGUAUUUCGGUAUGUAAACUUCGUAAGAAUAGGAAGAAUAAAUGACGGUACUAUUUGUAAGGUCCGGCUAACUACGUGCCAGCAGCCGCGGUAAUACGUAGGGACCAAGCGUUGUUCGGAUUUACUGGGCGUAAAGGGCGCGUAGGCGGUUGUGCAAGACCGAUGUGAAAUCCCCGAGCUUAACUUGGGAAUUGCAUUGGUGACUGCACGGCUAGAGUGUGUCAGAGGGGGGUAGAAUUCCACGUGUAGCAGUGAAAUGCGUAGAGAUGUGGAGGAAUACCGAUGGCGAAGGCAGCCCCCUGGGAUAACACUGACGCUCAUGCACGAAAGCGUGGGGAGCAAACAGGAUUAGAUACCCGAGUAGUCCCUGAGCGGGCUGGCAAGGCGCAU